CUACUACGGGAGGCAGCAGUAGGGAAUCUUCCACAAUGGACGCAAGUCUGAUGGAGCAACGCCGCGUGAGUGAAGAAGGCUUUCGGGUCGUAAAACUCUGUUGUUGGAGAAGAAUGGUCGGCAGAGUAACUGUUGUCGGCGUGACGGUAUCCAACCAGAAAGCCACGGCUAACUACGUGCCAGCAGCCGCGGUAAUACGUAGGUGGCAAGCGUUAUCCGGAUUUAUUGGGCGUAAAGCGAGCGCAGGCGGUUUUUUAAGUCUGAUGUGAAAGCCCUCGGCUUAACCGAGGAAGCGCAUCGGAAACUGGGAAACUUGAGUGCAGAAGAGGACAGUGGAACUCCAUGUGUAGCGGUGAAAUGCGUAGAUAUAUGGAAGAACACCAGUGGCGAAGGCGGCUGUCUGGUCUGUAACUGACGCUGAGGCUCGAAAGCAUGGGUAGCGAACAGGAUUAGAUACCCUGGUAGUCCAUGCCGUAAACGAUGAAUGCUAGGUGUUGGAGGGUUUCCGCCCUUCAGUGCCGCAGCUAACGCAUUAAGCAUUCCGCCUGGGGAGUACGACCGCAAGGUUGAAACUCAAAGGAAUUGACGGGGGCCCGCACAAGCGGUGGAGCAUGUGGUUUAAUUCGAAGCAACGCGAAGAACCUUACCAGGUCUUGACAUCUUUUGAUCACCUGAGAGAUCAGGUUUCCCCUUCGGGGGCAAAAUGACAGGUGGUGCAUGGUUGUCGUCAGCUCGUGUCGUGAGAUGUUGGGUUAAGUCCCGCAACGAGCGCAACCCUUAUGACUAGUUGCCAGCAUUUAGUUGGGCACUCUAGUAAGACUGCCGGUGACAAACCGGAGGAAGGUGGGGAUGACGUCAAAUCAUCAUGCCCCUUAUGACCUGGGCUACACACGUGCUACAAUGGAUGGUACAACGAGUUGCGAGACCGCGAGGUCAAGCUAAUCUCUUAAAGCCAUUCUCAGUUCGGACUGUAGGCUGCAACUCGCCUACACGAAGUCGGAAUCGCUAGUAAUCGCGGAUCAGCACGCCGCGGUGAAUACGUUCCCGGGCCUUGUACACACCGCCCGUCACACCAUGAGAGUUUGUAACACCCGAAGCCGGUGGCGUAACCCUUUUAGGGAGCGA
rnacentral:rRNA from 1 species